AGAGCGAACGCUGGCGGCAGGCCUAAAACAUGCAAGUCGAACGAAACCUUCGGGUUUAGUGGCGGACGGGUGAGUAACACGUGGGAACGUGCCUUUUGGUUCGGAACAACUCAGGGAAACUUGAGCUAAUACCGAAUGUGCCCUUCGGGGGAAAGAUUUAUCGCCAUUAGAGCGGCCCGCGUCUGAUUAGCUAGUUGGUAGGGUAAAGGCCUACCAAGGCUACGAUCAGUAGCUGGUCUGAGAGGAUGAUCAGCCACACUGGGACUGAGACACGGCCCAGACUCCUACGGGAGGCAGCAGUUAGGAAUCUUGCGCAAUGGGCGAAAGCCUGACGCAGCCAUGCCGCGUGAAUGAUGAAGGUCUUAGGAUUGUAAAAUUCUUUCAGCGGGGACGAUAAUGACGGUACCGCAGAAGAAGCUCCGGCUAACUUCGUGCCAGCAGCCGC
rnacentral:rRNA from 1 species